AUUGAACGCUGGCGGCAUGCCUUACACAUGCAAGUCGAACGGCAGCACGGGUGCUUGCACCUGGUGGCGAGUGGCGAACGGGUGAGUAAUACAUCGGAACAUGUCCUGUAGUGGGGGAUAGCCCGGCGAAAGCCGGAUUAAUACCGCAUACGAUCUACGGAUGAAAGCGGGGGACCUUCGGGCCUCGCGCUAUAGGGUUGGCCGAUGGCUGAUUAGCUAGUUGGUGGGGUAAAGGCCUACCAAGGCGACGAUCAGUAGCUGGUCUGAGAGGACGACCAGCCACACUGGGACUGAGACACGGCCCAGACUCCUACGGGAGGCAGCAGUGGGGAAUUUUGGACAAUGGGCGAAAGCUUGAUCCAGCAAUGCCGCGUGUGUGAAGAAGGCCUUCGGGUUGUAAAGCACUUUUGUCCGGAAAGAAAUCCUUGGCCCUAAUACGGUCGGGGGAUGACGGUACCGGAAGAAUAAGCACCGGCUAACUACGUG
rnacentral:rRNA from 1 species